rnacentral:rRNA from 1 species
UACGUAGGGGGCAAGCGUUGUCCGGAAUCAUUGGGCGUAAAGAGCGUGUAGGCGGUUCAGUAAGUCUGCUGUGAAAGUCCAGGGCUCAACCCUGGGAUGCCGGUGGAUACUGCUGGGCUAGAGUACGGAAGAGGCGAGUGGAAUUCCCGGUGUAGCGGUGAAAUGCGCAGAUAUCGGGAGGAACACCUAUUGCGAAGGCAGCUCGCUGGGACGUUACUGACGCUGAGACGCGAAAGCGUGGGGAGCAAACAGG